GACAGGAUGCUCGCCUCCUCUCUCCAUCCUUCACCCCGUUUCUCUGCUGUCUCUGUUGGAGAAAUGACGGUGUUGGGGCUUGCUCUUCUUUGACUUGUUGCUAGAAAAACAUUAACUUAACUGGGGUUUUCUUGGCCAGGCAACAGGUGUGGAAGGAUUACUUUUCUCUGAGCACAGCCUACUUGCCAUUUUGAGGAAGGUUUUUCUUCUUCAUUAAAUUAAAAGUGGAUUUGCAAUUUUUUUCACCUCUCUGGUUGCUAAAUUUGUUAAAUCUGCUAAAAGUUGGAAGACUUUAAGCAAAAUAAAAAGAAGACAAGGAGGUGCAGGUUGAGGGGUGAUGACAAACCUCAGCAUCAGCAGUAUGGCAGGACCACAGCGACGUACCAAUGAGCAAAAACGCGUCUCUUUGCUUAAAAACUAACAAAAUGGCAAUUAUACAACUUCAAAAGACUAGGACUUCAGUGCUUGGAGAAUAAUUUGUCUGAACGUUUAACCCUUUAACAGAGAGGGAACAGUGACAUCAUCAUCUGCUCCUGCAUGGAAAUCCACCUGCUGUGUUGCAGUGAAGACAUCCAAGAAAUAAGGACAAACAUCUUGUGGCGGUCAACGCUGAAGCUAAAAGCAAAAAAAGGGCUCCUUCAUGGUGCUGAAGUACUUCCCAAAGACUUUCACUGAUCUGAAGUGAAGCUUGAAAAUGAAGAACUGCAUCUCAUCAUCAUCAACAUCAUCUGCCACCUCAAGACAACAGGAUUACUGAACACACAAACUCAGGAGUUUUGAUGGCUAAAAACCACAUAAAUGUUGCUCAGGUUCCUUUAAACUGUUUCACUAACUGCUAACUCAUCCACUGAGACACUGAACAAACUACUUGUAUCCUUCCGGGUUUCUGGAGAUAAUGUAUGAUUAUGGAUGUCACACGCUGCCUUAUCAAAAAUUGAACUGCAUGAUUCAAGCUACAUUAUCCAUGCUUUCUCUGUCACUCCCACAUCUUUAACUUGUUAACAUUCUCUUCCUAUUCAGCGCCACAAUAAACAAAUAGUUUUGAUGCGGUUGAGGAGCUGGCGAGCUUUAACACAGCCAGCACAAAGCCUCGCUUAUAAUACACAAGUUGUUGCAUUGACAGGAGUUAUUAGGGCAAUACAUAUGUCAAUACACACCCUCAGUUAAAUCUACACCACCUGGAAUCUUAACAUGUUGUUAACCUUCUGUAAAUACUAUAAAGCUUCACUUGGAUAA